UGGGGAAUAUUGCACAAUGGGCGCAAGCCUGAUGCAGCCAUGCCGCGUGUGUGAAGAAGGCCUUCGGGAUGUAAAGCACUUUCAGCGGGGAGGAAGGCGAUAAGGUUAAUAACCUUGUCGAUUGACGUUACCCGCAGAAGAAGCACCGGCUAACUCCGUGCCAGCAGCCGCGGUAAUACGGAGGGUGCAAGCGUUAAUCGGAAUUACUGGGCGUAAAGCGCACGCAGGCGGUCUGUCAAGUCGGAUGUGAAAUCCCCGGGCUUAACCUGGGAACUGCAUUCGAAACUGGCAGGCUAGAGUCUUGUAGAGGGGGGUAGAAUUCCAGGUGUAGCGGUGAAAUGCGUAGAGAUCUGGAGGAAUACCGGUGGCGAAGGCGGCCCCCUGGACAAAGACUGACGCUCAGGUGCGAAAGCGUGGGGAGCAAACAGG
rnacentral:rRNA from 1 species